AGAACGAACGCUGGCGGCGCGUUUAAGCAUGCAAGUCGAGCGGCAAGGGCCUUCGGGCCCUAGAGCGGCGGACGGGUGAGUAACACGUGGACAAUCUGCCCCCCGGCCCGGGAUAGCCCAGGGAAACCUGGAUUAAUACCGGAUGAGACGGGACCCGCGAUGGCGGGAUCCGGGAAAGGCGCUGCGGCGCCGCCGGGGGAUGAGUCUGCGUCCCAUUAGCUAGACGGCGGGGUAACGGCCCACCGUGGCGACGAUGGGUAGCCGGCCUGAGAGGGUGGACGGCCACAUUGGAACUGAGACACGGUCCAGACUCCUACGGGAGGCAGCAGCUAAGAAUCUUCCGCAAUGGGCGAAAGCCUGACGGAGCCGACGCCGCGUGAACGAAGAAGGCCGUGAGGUUGUAAAGUUCUUUUCGGGAGGGGAACAACCGUGGCAGGGAAUGGCCGCGGGAUGACGUGAAAUCCCGGAAUAAGCCCCGGCUAACUACGUGCCAGCCGCCGC
rnacentral:rRNA from 1 species